rnacentral:rRNA from 1 species
UACAUGGGGUGCAAACGUUGCUCGGAAUUAUUGGGCGUAAAGGGCUCGUAGGCGGCCAACUAAGUCAUACGUGAAAUCCCUCGGCUUAACCGGGGAACUGCGUCUGAUACUGGAUGGCUUGAGUUCGGGAGAGGGAUGCGGAAUUCCAGGUGUAGCGGUGAAAUGAGUAGAUAUCUGGAGGAACACCGGUGGCGAAGGCGGCAUCCUGGACCGAUACUGACGCUGAGGAGCGAAAGCCAGGGGAGCAAACGGG